rnacentral:rRNA from 1 species
UAAUACGGAGGAUCCAAGCGUUAUCCGGAAUUAUUGGGUUUAAAGGGUCCGCAGGCUGUUUGUUAAGUCAGAGGUGAAAUCCUAUCGCUCAACGGUAGAACUGCCUUAGAUACCGACAAGCUUGAGUUAUUGUGAAGUAAUUAGAAUGUGUAGUGUAGCGGUGAAAUGCAUAGAUAUUACACAGAAUACCGAUUGCGAAAGCAGAUUACUAACAAUAUACUGACGCUGAGGGACGAAAGCGUAGGUAGCGAACAGGAUUAGAUACCCUGGUAGUCUACGCCGUAAACGAUGGUCACUAGCUGUUCGAUAUACAUUGGUAUGUUGAGUGGCUAAGCGAAAGUGAUAAGUGACCCACCUGGGGAGUACGCUCGCAAGAGUG